rnacentral:tRNA from 1 species
AGAAAAAUAGUUUUUAGAAUAUUUUAGUUACAUUAAAGAGGGCCUUUAUGGUUUUUCUA